CUUAACUCAGUUGGUCUAGAGUGUCGGUCUGUUAAACCGAAGGUCGUAGGUUCAAGUCCUACAGGU
rnacentral:tRNA from 1 species